UACGAAGGGUGCAAACGUUGCUCGGAAUUAUUGGGCGUAAAGCGCACGUAGGCGGAUCGUUAAGUCGGGGGUGAAAUCCUGGAGCUCAACUCCAGAACUGCCUUCGAUACUGGCGAUCUAGAGUCCGGAAGAGGUGAGUGGAACUCCUAGUGUAGAGGUGGAAUUCGUAGAUAUUAGGAAGAACACCAGUGGCGAAGGCGGCUCACUGGUCCGGUACUGACGCUGAGGUGCGAAAGCGUGGGGAGCAAACAGG
rnacentral:rRNA from 1 species